UAGAGAUUGAUAAAACAAUAUGGCAACCCUUGAUUGAAAUUAAGGUAAGUUAACGACCAAUUGAUCAUAAAAUUGUCUUCUAAAUCUAU
rnacentral:snoRNA from 1 species